ensembl:lncRNA
AUGAGGCUCACCUUGUCCAUCCUCCCCUCCCCCUCUCCUUCCUCUAUGGGCUGGAUGAGGAGAAUGAGUCGAUUCUCAGCGGCCCAGACAGUGCCCCGUCGAUGCCCUCAGCAAGGAGCUCUUUGGAAACCCCAGAAUGACUCGGAGCCGGAGGCCCCGUUUCCUCUCCUGACCGCAUCCUGCAGCUCGCAGCAGGGGGCAGGUGCAGGAGGGGCAGUGCCCGUCUGCCUCUGUCUCUGUGGGCCACAACCCGCUCGACGGGGCGCAGGCUGGCUGCAGGCAGUGCAUCAUAUUAUUUUAUACCGCGAUGUGGUUCUGAUGAGCAUUCCUUCGACAGGCAGUUCAUGAGCGCCUACCGCAUGCCCGGCGGUGUUCCAGGCACUGGGGAUACAGCACUAAAGCAGACAAACUCCUUCCGCUACGGAGCCCAUAUUCUGAUGGGAGAGACAAACAAUGAACCAAAAAUUAAAAUAGAUGACAUUUCUCACCUUAGCACCAAGAGGAAAGAAACAUACCUAUGAUGCUUAAAACUUGUGCUAAAGAAAGAAAAGAGCGAAAGAUAGUUUUUAUCCAGAGGACUUUGUGGCACGUAAUGUCUUGCUUCAACAAAACCAAUGCUAACAAUUAUUUAGCUUGAAGUGUGGGGGUAUUUAACGCAAGUAAUUUUGUCACCUUUUUUUAAAUAUAUAUUUUUUAAUGUUUUUUAUUUAUUUUCGAGAAGGAGAGAUAGAGCGCGAGCAGGGGAGGGGCAGAGAGAGAGGGAGACACAGAAUCUGAAGCAGGCUCCAGGUUCUGAGCUGUCAGCACAGAGCCCGACACAGGGCUUAAACUCAUAGACCACGAGAUCAUGACCUGAACUCAAGUUGGAUGCUUAAGUGACUAAGCCACCCAGGUGCCCCUAGAUUUCUUUUUUUUUUUUUUAAUGUUUAUUUAUUUUUGAGAGGGGGGUGGACGGAGGGGCAGAGAGAUGGGGACAGAGGAUCUGAAGAGGGCUCUGCGCUGACAGCAGUGAGUCUGAUGCGGGGCUCAAACCCCCGAGAACCAUAUGAUGAUGACGAAACUGGACGUUCAACUGACUGAGCCACCCAGGUACCUGUUACCUUCUUUUCAUUUACUGUCAACAUUUUCCAAUCUGACAUUAAAGCAACAUCUUAAAAUUUGCAUAACAGUCCCAUAUACUAACGAGGGCAUUACACCACUGUUGAACAUUCAGGUUGUUUCUUUCUGGCGUAAGUCUUUCAGAAUGUCUUAGAACUCAGUGCAUCAAACUUGUUUUAUUCAGGAGUACUGGCUUAGAAGAGAGUGGCAGACAAGAAAGCACAGGGUAAAAGGAAUGAACAUUUUGGGGGGAUGGGAUAUGAAUAUUUUUAAAGCUGGGGAUAUUGAUUGACAAAUUGCUUACUUCUUUUUUUAAGUAGGACUGCCCUUAAUUUUUUUUUUUUUUUGAGAGAGUGUGUCCGUGCACCUAAGUGUGGGAGGAGUGGAGAGAGAGGGAGAGAGAGAAAAUCCCAAGCAGGUUCCACGCUUAGCGUGGAGCCCAUCCGGGGGCUCGAUCUCACGAACCCAGAGUUCGUGAUCUGAGCCAAAAUUAAGAAUCAGAGUCUUAACUGACUGAGCCAUCCAGGCCCCCCAACUGACAAAUUACUUUCUAAAAGAAUCUGCCACUUACACACCUCCCAGCAAUCUGUGUGGGAGUACUUAUUUAACCCGUUCUUUCCUGAACCUGUGCCUCAUCUGCCUCAGUAGCAACUGGAAGCUUACUGGUCCCCUUUCAUUCCUGACUGAGUAUAAAAGAAAAUUGCCAAGGGACACGUGGCAGACUAAUUCGGUGACCUACCCAAACGACGGGAGAGAACUUUCUCUCCCCGUCAGCCAUAGUUCUGCAGCAGGAGAGAAACAUUGAGUUUCAAUAAUUCCUGGAGGAGGGGUUAUGAAAACUCACUCAGGCAUGGAGAAGCCUUCUUCCUGCCUGCCUUCAGGGAGCUCAACUGGUAAAUCAGGAGAAGUAAAUUGGCAGGAGUGGAGGUGGGGACUCACUCAGAACACUCGUCGUUGGACGUUUUGCCACAUGCAGACCCAGAUGAGAGCCGGCUUCCCCAUCCUGCAGCCCCACCGUAUGACACAGAAUAAUUUCUUGCCCAGAGAGGAACGGUGAGGAUGAGAAGAGCCAUGAUAUACUUGGGUUCUUAAACCUUAGUGUGUCUGAAAUUUGUCCCACUGGCACCAGCAACCCCACAGGCUGCAAGGCUCGUGACUCUCUGGGUAUGUGGGAGGAAUGUGGUUAACGUUUCUUAACAGCCUCACCUGCUAGGGGCAGCUGACAGGCGGGGUCAAGGUGGAGUGUGACAUCCAAUGCGCUCUAAUCCAACAGCCCCAAAUGCUGAAGGCAAAUGCAGGUAUUAGGUAGGGGGUUAAGAAGCUUGAGAAGGAAUGCCCAGGAUACAGACCCAACCUCACAUUGCCGUGCCGAUCUGAGUGGACACUGCCCCCAGAGCCUACAACUUUAUGAUUGGCCUGCUGGGGAUCUGGCUGGGAGGUGGUUUUCAAGAAUUACAUUCCUUUCCCUGCCCCGACUAACGUUUCUUUAGGCCAAAUCCCCUUAAAUCAAAAGUAUACACACCGAAUUUCCAAACCCUCCAGAAACCCCAAGGGGUAAGUUAUAGUCAGAAAAUGGAUAGAUAGGCCCAAAAAGGAUAGGAAAAAAUGCCCAAUACAUACUUAAAAUAUCACAUUGACAGAUACCCUUUUUCAAGUGACACCUGGCUGGCAGAUGCUCUUAAAUCUGUUUUUAUUCUCCCCGUAACCUUCAAAAUGUGAAACGUCCUUUAAACUAAUAAGAGUAAAUGGGCACCUGGGUGGCUCAGCCGGCUGAGCGUCUGACUUCGGCUCAGGUCAUGAUCUCCCAGUUUGUGAGUUCGAGCCCCACGUCGGGCUCUGUGCUGACAGCUCGGAGCCUGAAUCCUGCUUUGGAUUCUGUGUCUCCGUCUCUCUCUGCCCCUCCCCCUCUUGUACUGUCUCUCAAAAAUAAAUAAAUGUAAACAUUUAAAAAAAAUUGAAAU